rnacentral:rRNA from 1 species
GACGAACGCUGGCGGCGUGCUUAACACAUGCCAGUCGAACGGAAAGGCCCUGCUUUUGUGGGGUGCUCGAGUGGCGAACGGGUGAGUAACACGUGAGUAACCUGCCCUUGACUUUGGGAUAACUUCAGGAAACUGGGGCUAAUACCGGAUAGGAGCUCCUGCUGCAUGGUGGGGGUUGGAAAGUUUCGGCGGUUGGGGAUGGACUCGCGGCUUAUCAGCUUGUUGGUGGGGUAGUGGCUUACCAAGGCUUUGACGGGUAGCCGGCCUGAGAGGGUGACCGGCCACAUUGGGACUGAGAUACGGCCCAGACUCCUACGGGAGGCAGCAGUGGGGAAUAUUGCACAAUGGGCGGAAGCCUGAUGCAGCGACGCCGGGUGCGGGAUGACGGCCUUCGGGUUGUAAACCGCUUUCGCCUGUGACGAAGCGUGAGUGACGGUAAUGGGUAAAGAAGCACCGGCUAACUACGUG